CCGAGUUUACAACUCCCAAACCCAAUGUGAACGUUACCAAACUGUUGCCUCGGCGGGAUCUCUGCCCCGGGUGCGCCGCAGCCCCGGACCAAGGCGCCCGCCGGAGGACCAACCAAAACUCUUAUUGUAUACCCCCUCGCGGGUUUUUUACUAUCUGAGCCAUCUCGGCGCCCCUCGUGGGCGUUUCGAAAAUGAAUCA
rnacentral:misc_RNA from 1 species